rnacentral:rRNA from 1 species
GAUGAACGCUGGCGGCGUGCCUAACACAUGCAAGUCGAACGGAGUAUCUUUAACAGAAUUUUUUCGGAAAGGAAGAUAUUGAUACUUAGUGGCGGACGGGUGAGUAACGCGUGGGUAACCUGCCUCAUACAGGGGAAUAACAACCGGAAACGGUUGCUAAAACCGCAUAAUAUGCUAACAUCGCAUGAUGACGGCAUUAAAUAUUUAUAGGUAUGAGAUGGGCCCGCGUCUGAUUAGCUAGUUGGUGAGAUAAAAGCUCACCAAGGCGACGAUCAGUAGCCGGCUUGAGAGAGUGACCGGCCACAUUGGGACUGAGACACGGCCCAAACUCCUACGGGAGGCAGCAGUGGGGAAUAUUGCACAAUGGGGGAAACCCUGAUGCAGCGACGCCGCGUGAGUGAAGAAGUAUUUCGGUAUGUAAAGCUCUAUCAGCAGGGAAGAAAUUGACGGUACCUGACUAGGAAGCC